GAUUUCAAAUGAAAAAGUCAUCAACAACAAAGUUGUAUAACUCAUCAAAAUCUAUAACUUUUAUUUUGGUCAUUUCUUCAUCCGAUAAAGUGAUAGUAACAUUGUUCACAAAAUUUACAUAUCUCCCUAAUAGCUUAUAAACUAUAUAAGAGAUAUGUACAUUUUGUGAAUAAUGUUACAAAUCACAUUGUCGAAUGAAGAAAUAACCCAAAUAAAAGUUAUAGAUCUUGACGAGUUAUGUCACUUUGUUAUUGAUGACUUUUUCAGUUGAAAUC
rnacentral:pre_miRNA from 1 species